rnacentral:rRNA from 1 species
UGGGGAAUCUUCCGCAAUGGACGAAAGUCUGACGGAGCAACGCCGCGUGUAUGAUGAAGGUCUUCGGAUUGUAAAGUACUGUCAUUGGGGAAGAACGGUUUUCUUGAAAAGAUUGAGAAGACAUGACGGUACCCAAGGAGGAAGCCCCGGCUAACUACGUGCCAGCAGCCGCGGUAAUACGUAGGGGGCAAGCGUUGUCCGGAAUUAUUGGGCGUAAAGGGCGCGUAGGCGGGCCUUUAAGUCCGGUGUGAAAGAUCAGGGCUCAACCCUGAGAGUGCAUCGGAAACUGGAGGCCUUGAGGACAGGAGAGGAAAGUGGAAUUCCACGUGUAGCGGUGAAAUGCGUAGAUAUGCGGAGGAACACCAGUGGCGAAAGGCGACUUUCUGGACUGUAACUGACGCUGAGGCGCGAAAAGCGUGGGGAGCAAAACAGGAUUAGAUACCCUGGUAGUCCACGCCGUAAACGAUGAGUGCUAGGUGUAGAGGGUAUCGACCCCCUUCUGUGCCGCAGUUAACACAAUAAGCACUCCGCCUGGGGAGUACGGCCGC